rnacentral:rRNA from 1 species
GACAGAGGGUGCAAACGUUGUUCGGAAUUACUGGGCGUAAAGCGAGUGUAGGCGGUCUGCUAAGUCGGAUGUGAAAGCCCCGGGCUCAACCCGGGAAGUGCACUCGAAACUGGCAGGCUAGAGUAUCGGAGAGGUUGGUGGAAUUCUCGGUGUAGAGGUGAAAUUCGUAGAUAUCGGGAGGAACACCAGAGGCGAAGGCGGCCACCUGGACGGACACUGACGCUGAGACGCGAAAGCGUGGGGAGCAAACAGG